rnacentral:lncRNA from 1 species
AUGUCUUUACAAAGCCAUAGUUCAGUUAUACACAACUGACUAUCAUUUAUGAUAAAACUAGCUAGCAUCUACAUUACUAUACCUAUGUUUUUAAUUACAGGAGAUAAUGCAGUAGGUAUACAUUAACUUUAGGGGGACUCCUAACAUGACAUGUAUAAGCAAUGCUUCUAAGUAGAUGUCCACUGGAACAUGAAGUGUGAUUGAACAAUCUGGAGGGGACUCCUAACAUGACAUGUAUAAGCAAUGCUUCUAAGUAGAUGUCCACUGGAACAUGAAGUGUGAUUGAACAGUCUGGAGUUUCUUUCUAACCAAAUACUGUAAAUCAUUUCAGUAAAGACCAUUUUCAUCAUUUGAGCUAGACCAGAUUUCCCUUUAGACUUGGCUAUGAUCCACUGAAUGUAUUGUUCCCAAUUCUGGUAAUUAUCUUGAGUUACUCCAAUCCACUGUAAAGUGUGAUGUCUCACUAAGGAGGUGAAUGAACAUGUGAAGAACAGAUGAUCCCUAGUCUCCUUAUCUUGUUGGCAAAGUACACAUGUGUUGUCCACUGUGAGUGUCCACUGUUCCAGUCUAUCCUUUGUGGGAAGCAUGUUCUGUAAUAUAAGCCCGAGGUUGAAAACUGUCUUAGGUCUAGCAUAGUUUUGGAUGUUAGGUUCUUCCACUCUACUCUUGGCAAUUGUCCAACCUGUUGUAAGUAAAAUUUCUUGAUA